rnacentral:lncRNA from 1 species
UUAAAGUGACAUCAAUUCAACAAACAUUUAUUUAAUGGCUACUAGGUACAAGACACUGUGCUAGGAUUUGGGCAUACAGAGACAGAAAACAAAACAGUCCUUGCCCUCAAGGAGCUUACAUUCUAAAAGACUUAACUAAGACCACACAGCUAGGUAUGUCAUUUGCUGGAAGAACUGGUACCAGAAUCCAGUUCUGAACUAGAACUCCUAGUCCUAGAGUGUUUUUUUGUUGUUGUUGUUGUUGUUGUUUUUCUGCUACAAUACUGUAAGCAAACCUAUACAACUCAUUUUUUUUUCCAUAGAAUCAAUGAAUAUCUUGCCUAGCCCAUCACCCACAUCAAUGCUAAAGAUAUUAAAUAAUAUUAGAACUAAGAAUGACCCUUCUGGGGACCACUAGCUUGGUCUCUCUCAAGUUGCCUCUGAGUUAUUAUACUCUUUGGUGCAAUCAUUCUCUUCCUAAAGGUAGUGGUCCAACCCAAACUGGUCUCCCUAGUUGAUUGAUGAGCCCAUCACCUGGGUCAAAAUCAAAGUCUUAUUAAAAUUGAUAUAAUAAUCUGACUGAACUGAUUCUUUCCUGAUCUAUGUGAGUUACUGCAUGGUACUCUGAGAUCUCCAAAGGAUUUGAAAAUUGAUUUUUAAAUGAAUAGUUACAGUAUCUUAACCAAUAUCUGGAUUAACUCCUUCAUUCUCAGUCUAGAGUUGUUCUUUUUGAUCUUUCUUAAAGGUAAACACUACAUGACCCUUCUCUGUCCUCUAUGAGUUCUUAAAAAACGACAAGUCAAGAUUAUCCUUCUUCCCAGAAUGGUUUCAAGAACUACUCUGACAGUGGCUUGAGGUCAAAUCCAUCAAUGCAGAUUGGAUUAGUUGAUCAUUUUGACCUACAAUUAUCAAUCAUGGGACAGUUACCAUAAUCAUUGAGCAUGUAGACAAUGUCUGAGUGAUCCAGAGAUGCUAUUAGCCAAUUUCCCAAAUGCCUUAAUAUACAUAUGACCCAUCCCUGGUAAUCUUUUGUUUUUUUUAAAUGUCCUCUUACAAUCUUCAAGGAUUUUUCUCUCUUUUAUUUAAUUGUACCCUUUUAUAAAGCAGUGGCAGCCACAAUGGUUUUAUGAUUUGCAGAUACCCUGGUCACAUGACUUUAAUUAAAGUGAAAAAGGGACAAGAAUAAAAAUCUA